rnacentral:rRNA from 1 species
UGGGGAAUCUUGGACAAUGGGGGCAACCCUGAUCCAGCCAUGCCGCGUGAGUGAUGAAGGCCUUAGGGUCGUAAAGCUCUUUCGCCUGUGAAGAUAAUGACGGUAGCAGGUAAAGAAACCCCGGCUAACUCCGUGCCAGCAGCCGCGGUAAUACGGAGGGGGUUAGCGUUGUUCGGAAUUACUGGGCGUAAAGCGCACGUAGGCGGACUGGAAAGUUGGGGUGAAAUCCCGGGCUCAACCCCGGAACUGCCUCCAAAACUAUUGGUCUAGAGUUCGAGAGAGGUGAGUGGAAUUCCAAGUGUAGAGGUGAAAUUCGUAGAUAUUUGGAGGAACACCAGUGGCGAAGGCGGCUCACUGGCUCGAUACUGACGCUGAGGUGCGAAAGUGUGGGGAGCAAACAGGAUUAGAUACCCUGGUAGUCCACACCGUAAAACGAUGAAUGCCAGUCGUCGGGUAGCAUGCUAUUCGGUGACACACCUAACGGAUUAAGCAUUCCGCCUGGGGAGUACGGUCGCAAGAUUAAAACUCAAAUGAAUUG